rnacentral:rRNA from 1 species
UACGUAGGGUGCAAACGUUGUUCGGAAUUACUGGGCGUAAAGCGCGUGUAGGCUGCUUGGAAAGUCGGAUGUGAAAGCCCUGGGCUCAACCUAGGAAGUGCAUUCGAAACUUCUGAGCUGGAGUUCUGGAGAGGAAGGCGGAAUUCUCGGUGUAGAGGUGAAAUUCGUAGAUAUCGAGAGGAACACCCGUGGCUAAGGCGGCUCUCUAGUACGGUACUGACGCUGAGACGCGAAAGCGUGGGGAGCGAACAGG